AUGUUUUGUGCUCUGGCCUUUUCAAUUGUUAAGUCAUCUUAAUAGAGAGGUUCUCCGUAUGGUUGCACAUUUUGCCCAAACACUGUUGAUUUUUCUUUUCCCAUUUUUACUACGUUCUUUGUCUGCUUGGCUUUUUGGAUUAGUUCAAGUAAUCCUCACUUGGCUUCUUGCAUCAUUCCUAUAACAACCCGUGACAUCACGCAAGUAAUUUACCUAUUAUAUUCUAUUAUGUAAAAUAUUCGCUCUUAUACUGUGUUCGCAAUCUGCUAGACGAUAUGGCAUAAUCACUAGCAGUCUCUUGACCUUCUGCCAUGGACACUUUAUCGUUUGAAUGAUGUACUUCAUAUCAGUAUGUCUUUCAAGCAACUUAUUUCAGAUGGAUUCUAGAGACUAAUUUCACAACUAAUCUGAAAUGACAAAAACAAAAGUUGGAAGCCUUAUCCUUUGCAAGGUUUGAAAUGUUAUAUGGUGAAGCUAUAUUGAAGAGGUAAGAACUAAAUGAUGCUAACUCAUUAGCUGAAGUCAUAACUGGAGAACUCUAAAGUGAGCUUGUCUUAUGUUGUACUUAUUGUUUUUAACGUGAGAUAAUGAUUUAUGUGUCUUUACUUCAUCGAGAUUAUGUUUUUUUUUUACUUCAAUGCAAUCAUAGAACUUAUAUUUGUUUUAGAUCAGCAAAACAAUGAAUCGAUGGAUCAUACUUUCAAAGGAGUUGUUGAGCACUUCAGCGAAGUAUUCUUUGAACUUGUGCAAGGUGGUCAUGGUCAUUUAGUUAUGAUGAAGAAAAAGGUUACUUAAAGGAGCAUUUAAUGUCUUUGUUUCAUUUGUUCUUUUCUUUACUCCUAUCGUUCAUUUUUCCCUUGCUAGUAAGCAAUGCCUUGAAGUUCUUCCAAUGUCUUUUUAUUGCUUUCCAAGUUUAAUCACUAUAUUUUUUGGUCUUUUAUGUUGAAAUUUUGAGAUAACCAUAUGAGUGCAUUUUAAAGUUUCAUGUCAUACAUUUGUGGUCAAUCUAGAUAGCCAUUGAAACAGUUGUAUAAAUUUUACGGUAUCUUAACAAGAUGUUUAUCACGAAGAUGAUAAUUGUGACGAUGAUGGACGUCAUGAAGCAAAUCUAGAGGGAAAUAUGUUACUGUGAAAAUAAAGGUAUGAAGCAAAUCUAGAGGGAAAUGUGUUUAUUUUUUUGCAGAAAGGAAGAGAGAGAAAUAAGAAAGGAUAUUAUAUAACAUGAUGCCUUAAUUGCUCUCUUACCAACUCAAUCACAACUUAUUGAUCAAUUUUUUUGGAUAUCAUCAACCAUUUGUAACCAGAAAGGAAAUGGACAUCAUUUAACAAGGAAAAAAAUAUAUAAGAAAUUUUAUUGUAAUGCAAAAUUUUCUUUGUUUAACUUCUAGGUUGCUAAACUCUGCUAGUUGCUUUUGACUAUAGUUGGUUGAUGGUUGUGAGAGAGGUUCAGUAACAGGCUCAUGCUUUUUUGGUAAAAUAAAAUAUGGUUUUAGUUAUACCAUUGCUUUAUGGAUUUUGGUUAUCCACUAUGGCUAAUAAUCUUUUAUUUUAUCUGCAGUUUAAGAGCAUUUUUGGAUUUUUUUUGUGUUGCUCAACUUUGUGGUUUCGUUUAAUCUAUUGUUUUUUUUUUCCUGGUGGUGUUCUACUUUCAGGAAUAUCAUGUAUCGGGUAUUCCAUUGGUAAUAUUGUUUUUGUUUGCUUGCCAUGUUCCAAGUUUGAGGGUUCACUUGGAUUGGGGUAAUGGCAGUUGGGUUUGUUCGAAGAAGAGGGUUUGCUAAUUAUAUAAGUGUUCUUUUCUCGACAAGGAAACAUUAUCAUUAAUAUCUUAUGUUUUGUAGGUUAACUUGUUAAAUUGCUGCAUUCAUUAGCGAAAAGAGGGAGGGGCAUGGCUAUUAUGUGCUUGAAAAACGUAUUUUACGGGAUUGGUAAGAGAGUGUUGUUUGGUCUAUACGGAUUUUCUUAUCCAAAACUUGGAUAGCGCAACCUCAUACACCCAGCCCAUUUCAGUUCGAAAGUUAAUUAUGUUGAUAAGUUUGUUUUUCAUUGUGAUUUAUUAUAUAUAUUUAAUCUUAUUCAUUUGUUUUUUUGUCUACUAUGUAAUAUAUUGAUAUCAAAAUUAUGUUAUGGGCUUACAGUUUGUUUCUUUAGUAGCCAUUCGUUUUGUAUUGAGUGAUCUCUUCCACAACCUAUGCAAUGAUGAUGGGCAUCAACUACUCGAUGAAGGUGCAGGGGAUCAAGUUUUAUUUGCUUUCAUUGAGAUUGUGUUGAUAAUUCCGACAAUCACAUCUCGUGUCUUUCUUUCAUAAACGGUUUUGGCAACUUGCAGUAUAAUGGAGUGUGAAAAGCAGGUGAGCAUCCUUUAUCAAAAAACAAGGUCGGGCAACCCAUUUUCCAGCAAAGCUAUUCGUGACAAAAGGCUGUAAAUGGAAAAUGAUGAUUUACGUCUUUUUUCUUCAAAUUGGCUCAAGCAAGAGUUUAGAUUAGUCUAUUCUGAUACUUUAACAUCAAUGUAGAUGCAUGCUGGUGUUGUGAAAAUCUUUCUAUAGGUGGCACUUUCUUAUCUCAUGCUCAUCAUUUAAUUAGGAAAGGACCAUGCCCUCUUAUCAGAUAAUUCCAUGAUCAAAACACAAUGUUAAGGGUUUUUCUUUUUUGUUUUCUUUUUUGAAUUGUUUGGGUAUCUUUAGUAAACUGGACUUAACAAGAGUUAUAUCUAAAGAAAUGAUUAGCCUUUCUAGCAUAUUAUUUGUUCAAGUUCAUAGGAACUCUGAAUUGUGAAUUUGCUUUAUCCUGUUUUUAUGUGGUAAAUGACUAACUAUGAAUUUGCUCUAGUCUGAGUUUUAAUUUUUUGUUCUUGGCUUUUUAUGUAUUAUUGUCUUGUAAUCAUUAUUUUAAAUCUAUUUAUCUUGCCUGAUUUGCCAGCCAAUAUCUAUGUUGAAAUCCUAGCAGAUGAUGUUUUGGUCUUGCCUCUACAUGUACUUGGUACUUACUGAGAUAGGUCAUGUUUGCAUGCUUCCACUUAAGCUUUCAUCUUUUGAGAAGUGACAUGCUUUCUUUUAUUGGAACAUAUAGGUAUAAGUAGAGUGUGAAAGAGUUGCAUAAAUGCUUCAUAGGUGCAAUGAGCAACUUCAGCCAUGUAAACAAGAAGGCACUAGACCAACAUGUAAAUAUCACUGAGAAACAGGAGAAACUCCAGAAAAGUCAAGUUGAACUAUGGUGCUGGAUUUUAUUGCUUAAAUAUCUUAUGUUGUACUUAUUGUUUUUAACGUGAGAUUAAGAUUUAUGUAUCUUUACUUCAAUGAGAUUAUGUUUUAUUACUUCAAUGCUUGUGUGCAGAAAAUCAUAGAACUGAUAUUUGUUUUAGAUCAGCGAGACAAUGAAUAUUGCACUGUCAAAGGAGUUGUUGAGCACUUUAGCGAAGUAUUCUUUGAACUCGUGCAAGGUGGUCGUGGUCAUUUGGCUAUGAUGAAGAAAAAGAUGUUGAUCACGAAUAUGAUAAUUGUGACGAUGAUGGAUGUCAUGAAGCAAAUUUGGAGGGAAAUAUGUUACUGUGAAAAUAAAGGUAUGAAUAUGUGGUCGCUAUGUUAUAUGUGGUCGCAGAAAAUAAAGGUAUAAAAGGUAUUGUUAUACCAUUACUUUAUGGAUUUUGGUUAUCCAUUAUGGCUAAUAAUUUUUUAUUUUAUCUGCAGUUUAAGAGCAUUUCUGGAUUUGUUUUUUGUUGCUCAGCUUUGUUGUUUGGUUUAAUCUAUUGUUUUUUUUUCUGGUGGUGUUCUAUUUUCAGGAAUAUCAUGUAUCAGGUAUCAUAUUGUUAAUAUUGUUUUGAUUUGCUUACCAUGUUCCAAGUUUAGUGGUUCACUUAGAUUGGGGGUAAUGGCAAUUGGGUUUCUUCAAAGAAGAGGGUUUCCUGAUUAUCUUAUGUGUUCUUUUCUCGACAAGGAAACAUUAUCAUUAAUAUCUUAUGUUUUGUAGGUUAACUUGUUGAAUUGCUGCAUUCAUUAGGGAAAAGAGGGAGGGGCUUGGCUAUUAUGUGCUUGAAAAGCGCAUUUUACGGGACUGGUAAGAGAGUGUGUUUGGUCUGUAAGGAUUUCCUUAUCCAAAACUUGGAUAGCGCAACCCCAUACACCUAGCCCAUUUCAGUUCGAAAGUUAAUUGUGUUUGUAAGUUAGUUUUUCAUUGUGAUUAUUUUUUUAUAUAUGUUAUCUUAUUUAUUUGUUGUGUGUCUACUAUAUAAUAUAUUGAGUGAUGAGUGUUUUAAAUUUAUGGACUGAAGGAUUAUUCCUUUUUUAUGUGUUAA